rnacentral:rRNA from 1 species
UACAGAGGGUGCGAGCGUUGUCCGGAGUUACUGGGCGUAAAGCGCACGCAGGCGGUCUGCUAAGUUUGGAGUGACAGUUGGUGGCUUAACUGCCAAAGUGCUUCGAAAACUGACAGACUUGAGGGCUUCAGAGGGACACGGAAUUCCGGGUGGAGUGGUGAAAUGCGUAGAGAUCCGGAGGAACACCAAAGGCGAAGGCAGUGUCCUGGGGAGUACCUGACGCUCAGGUGCGAAAGCCAGGGGAGCGAACGGG